UAACUCUGGAUCCUCCACAGUUGCUCGAGAAAAUCUUUCGCCUUUUACUAAAGAUUUCCGUGCAGAGGAUCAAACUAUGAGUAUCACUCAUUUUUUGGAAUCCCCUCGAAAGAGCGGGAU
rfam:Pristionchus pacificus strain PS312 contig12121, whole genome shotgun sequence.